rnacentral:SRP_RNA from 1 species
CCGCGCUAGGCGGGGAGUUAGCGGUGCCCUGUACCUGCAAUCCGCUACAGCAGGGCUGAACUCCGUCCCCCGGCCGGCGCUUGUGGGGUAUUGGUACCGGUAAGGAGUAUUGAUAUCCGGGUCCUGUGCAACCGGCGCCUGUGAACCAUGUCAGAUCCUGACGGAAGCAGCAUUAAGCAGGAAAACCGGUGUGCCGCAGGUGUGCCUGGAAGGAGCCGCCUGCCGGGGUGCCUCUCGGAAGUGUUCGGUCAAAGGAUGGUGCGCGG